UAAUCAAUUGCAUGUUUGUGAAGAACAGAGCCCUGUAAGUGUGGCAGUAUGGCCUCUUUCUAGAGACAUACUUGACUGCUUAUUAAGUUGUGGGUUGUUUUUUGACAGAUAUAUUUUCUCACUUUCUUACAACAACUUAGUCUCCAGUUAUUGUACAAGUCUGGUGCGCAAGUGUUGUUUCGUUCCAUCUUCAGUUUGAUUAUUGUUUUUUUUGGCGAGAAAAUUUCUGAUCUAUUCAUCAACUGUCAAGGCAGUACAAUUCCUAUUUUUAUUUUUUAAACAGGGUUCCUAGAUCAAAUUGUCUGGGCUGGGACAAGAAAAGGAACAUGCUCUUGACUGAGCGCGGGCCGCGGAGAUGGUGAGGAUGCCGAGCUGUCUGCGGCAUGGUCGUUGCUCCUCCGGACUUGGUAGGAGGAGUGAGGAGGUCGAUCCAUCCUCGGCUUCGUCGUCGUCGUGCAUCCGUCAAGAGAUGCUCGCGCGCCGGGAGACGAAUCCACAUCUGCUCCUGCUCGACUGCUUCCAAAUCGAGUGACGCAUGCUUCUGCUUGCUAUGGAGGCCGCUGCUCUGAUCCGCUCCAACUGCCAGCGAUGUUCCUCCUCAAGGUCAAGGCAGGCUGGGUGGGCUCCUCGUCGGCGUCGGCUUUCCCUGCCUGCCACUGCUUUCUGAUGGAGCGGACCUUUGGAUGCUCCUGUGCCUCUGGUGGUGGGCUAGGCUGGAACUGCUCUGUUGGAUCCUUACCUUUCUUUUGCAGUGAC